rnacentral:pre_miRNA from 1 species
CAAGUACUCCCUCCUUUCAAAAUUACUUGUCAUCAAAAUGGAUGUGUCUAGAACUAAAAUACAUCUAGAUACAUCCAUUUCAAUGACAAGUAUUUUCGGACGGAGGGAGUACAAG